UCGCGAAAACUUCGCAAUAAGCGAAAGCUUGACGGGGCUAUCCCGAGUGCCAUCUGCUGAAGAUGGCUUUUACCUAGUAUAGAUAGCUAGGGGAAUAAGGAGAGGGCAAGUCUGGUGUCAGCCGCCGCGGUAAUACCAGCUCUCCGAGUUGUGGGGAUAUUUAUUGGGCCUAAAGCAUCCGUAGCCGGCUGAACAAGUCCCCUGUUAAACCCAGCGACUAAUCGUUGGUCUGCGGGGGAUACUGUUCGGCUAGGGGGCGGGAGAGGCCGUUGGUAUUCCUGGGGUAGGGGUGAAAUCCUAUAAUCCCAGGAGGACCACCAGUGGCGAAGGCUGUCGGCUAGAACGCGCCCGACGGUGAGGGAUGAAAGCUGGGGGAGCGAACCGGAUUAGAUACCCGGGUAGUCCCAGCUGUAAACGAUGCAGGCUAGGUGUUAGGGCGGCUACGUGCCGCUCUAGUGCCGCAGGGAAGCUGUUAAGCCUGCCGCCUGGGGAGUACGGCCGCAAGGCUGAAACUUAAAGGAAUUGGCGGGGG
rnacentral:rRNA from 1 species